UCCCUGGUGGCUCAGAGGGUAAAGAAUCUGCCUGCAAUUCAGGAGACCCAGGUUCGAUCCCUGGGUCGGGAA
rnacentral:tRNA from 1 species